CCUCCGCCAAGAAGGCCUCCUCCUCCUCAAGCUUUCUCCCCCGAGCAGGGCCACCUCCUCCACGAGCAUCCUUCCCUAAGCACUAAGUUGGGUCGCCUCUGUUUCCCUCACCCGAGCAGCGGGCCUUCCUGUACGGCCCCUCUCCCGAGAAGCUCCACCUCCUCUACAUCCUCCCCCAGGUGCAGCGCCGCCUCCUUGCUCACCGAGAGCACUUGGCCGCUGAGAGUGACUUAUAAGUUCAUGGCAAAAGCAGCAACACGAGUACGCAACCACAAGUAAGCUGAGGAGUUACCUCUGAGUUGAUAUACAUUUUACUGUCUCGAGAUUCUUUUGGCAUCCCUGAACAGUUUCCGCUGAUCCAAAUUAUCACCCCUCAUGUUAUGGGCCUCAAAGAGCAGCUGAAAGAGUAAUUUAAGGUGCAAGUGGAUAAGUCUAGCAAAUGCAGUAAUGUGACCACAAGCAAGUUGAGGAGGUAAUAUGCAUCUUCAACUUUGAUUUUUUGCUGU